GCAUUGGUGGUUCAGUGGUAGAACCCUUGCCUUCUGUGCAGAAGACCCGUGUUCAAUUCCAGCCAAUGUA
rnacentral:tRNA from 1 species